GGGAAGUUGGCUCAGUGGUAGAGCGCUUGUCUUGCAUGCAUGAGGCCUGGGUUCGAUUCCCAACACCACA
rnacentral:tRNA from 1 species